rnacentral:tRNA from 1 species
CGCUUGUUAGCUCAGCGGGUAGAGCAAUCAGUACAGACUGAUCGGUCGCAGGUUCGACUCCUGCACAAGCUC